ACCAGACUCCUACGGGAGGCAGCAGUGGGGAAUAUUGGACAAUGGGGGGAACCCUGAUGCAGCGACGCCGCGUGGGUGAAGAAGCGCCUCGGCGCGUAAAGCCCUGUCAGCAGGGAAGAAAAUGACGGUACCUGAAGAAGAAGCCCCGGCUAACUACGUGCCAGCAGCCGCGGUAAUACGUAGGGGGCAAGCGUUAUCCGGAUUUACUGGGUGUAAAGGGGGCGCAGACGGCGAUGCAAGCCAGGAGUGAAAGCCCGGGGCCCACCCCCGGGACUGCUCUUGGAACUGCGUGGCUGGAGUGCAGGAGGGGCAGGCGGAAUUCCUGGUGUAGCGGUGAAAUGCGUAGAUAUCAGGAGGAACACCGGGGGCGAAGGCGGCCUGCUGGACUGCAACUGACGUUGAGGCCCGAAAGCGUGGGGAGCAAACAGGAUUAGAUACCCCGGUAU
rnacentral:rRNA from 1 species